rnacentral:tRNA from 1 species
GCGGAUUUACUCAGGGGAGAGCCCAGAUAAAUGGAGUCUGUGCGUCCACAGAAUUCGCACCA